UACGUAGGGUCCGAGCGUUGUCCGGAUUUAUUGGGCGUAAAGAGCUCGUAGGCGGUUCCGUAAGUCGGAUGUGAAAACUCGGGGCUCAACCCCGAGACGCCAUCCGAUACUGCGGUGACUUGAGUCUGGUAGGGGAACACGGAAUUCCUGGUGUAGCGGUGGAAUGCGCAGAUAUCGGGAGGAACACCAGUAGCGAAGGCGGCUCGCUGGGCCAUUCCUGACGCUGAGACGCGAAAGCUAGGGGAGCGAACAGG
rnacentral:rRNA from 1 species